UUUGGUUCGGAACAACUGAGGGAAACUUCAGCUAAUACCGGAUAAGCCCUAACGGGGAAAGAUUUAUCGCCGAAAGAUCGGCCCGCGUCUGAUUAGCUAGUUGGUGAGGUAAUGGCUCACCAAGGCGACGAUUAGUAGCUGGUCUGAGAGGAUGAUCAGCCACACUGGGACUGAGACACGGCCCAG
rnacentral:rRNA from 1 species